AGUAUGCCUGCGUUAGCGAUUGUAGCAUUUGUUUGAGCUCUUUUAUGAGGAACGAAUAAAAAGCGAGUGCGAAAAGCGCGACCUUUA
rnacentral:misc_RNA from 1 species